UACGUAGGGGGCGAGCGUUGUCCGGAGUUACUGGGCGUAAAGGGCAUGCAGGCGGUCGGACGCGUUUUGUGUGACAGCGCAUGGCUUAACUAUGCGAGCAUACGAAAGACGGUCUGACUUGAGGGCUCGAGAGGGACACGGAAUUCCGGGUGGAGUGGUGAAAUGCGUAGAGAUCCGGAGGAACACCGAAGGCGAAGGCAGUGUCCUGGCGAGUGACUGACGCUGAGGUGCGAAAGCCAGGGGAGCGAACGGG
rnacentral:rRNA from 1 species